ACUAGUUGUUUGCAAGGGCUGCUGUGCACUCGGAUGUAGGCAGGCAACAACAUUGAGGAGAUCAUCAACAACACCAGCCUGCAAACCGUAGCCUCUCUGCACAAAAGAUUAGUGCAGAAUUCCAUCGAAUAACAAAUAUAAAUUUAAAGAGUACAUUUUAUUCUGCAUUUGAUAAGUACAUGCCAUGGCUAAUGACGAUGUACCGUGAGAAAGCGGCCCGCACUGGCAAAACUUCUGAAUUGCUAAGAAACAUCUUCAGGACCUAUGAUCUCCUUGAAGACUUUGAUGUUAACAGCAGACGAACAAUUGCUCUGCAGGCACUUCCCAUCUUCCUGCGUGAAGAUGCUGCUGGAUUUUUUUAAGACCUGGAAUGCAGAAGACAUUGACCUGCCAGACCUCUCGGAUACAACUGUAGCUGUUCUC